CCCGUCGCCUGGGCCAGUCCUCUGGCCACCAGAUCUAAGUCCAGCUUCCACCGGAGCCACCGAGGCGCCAGACCCUCCUCCCCUUCUGGUUCUGCCACCCUCGGACUCUGCCUUCCUUUCUGCCCUUUCCUCCCCGUCUCUCCGGUGACACCCCUGUCUGCAGGUGCCCAGGUCCAGACAGCUGUGCCAGACUGUGCGUCUGUCCCUCCGCAAGGACAUUCCUAUAACCACCACCACAGUCAACACACGAGCCUAUCCUCACACCCAAAGAGGUCCCUAGAGAUGGAGUUUUGGAAUAUAGAAUCACACCGUAUGUCGGAUUUUUCUCCGUCCCCCCACCAUCCCUGGUGACGCUUCUGAGACUCACUCACGCCUGUGCAUUCAUCUGUAGUGUAUUGCUUUACGUUUGUUUGAGCACAAAAUUCAACAGACUAAAUCUGAAAGAUGUUAUUGGGUUUAUUCACCAAGUCACAAACCGGGCAGCAUGCCCCCUAGCUGACAGAGAAGAGCCCUGUGGAGCUUCAUGAGAUGGAAGACCUCUCUGUGCAGAAGUGCGCCGGAACCGCAAGUUACAGGGCAGGAAGUUGCAUUCCUUUAGGGGACGGCGGGUCCCAGGUCCGUCAGGCACAUCACCUCCCUGGUGCCCAGCCGGAAAUUCCAGAUUGACUGGCUCAAGGUUCCCUUGCCCCGUGAGCUGAGACUGUGCUUAAGUCUCGGAUGGUUUGGUGCUCAGAGACUCCGUGGGGGCUGUCGUCUUGUAUUUAACACACAGCUCAGUGGAGAUGCAGGUGUAGGAAGACCACAUGGGUGAACACACGCAUCCCGGUCUGUUCGGACGUCUGUUUCCGUCCUUUAGGGUAAAAACCCAGGAAGGGGACCACUGGGUCACGUGCUAAGACUAUGUUUAACUUUAUAAGAAACCGUCAAACAUCUUCCCAGACUGCUGCCCCUUCACACGCGGGAUCCCAGCUCCUUCCCCUGGGCGCCAGCGCUGAGCUCGGCCUGUCUCUGACUCGGCUGUCUGUCUGUCCGCACACGGUGUGGGGCAUCUGCUCGUGCUUUCAGUGAACGUUUGCCUACGGCUGGAGCCGCCCAGCACCCUGUCCUGAGCUCUGUGCCGGCUACGCUUUGAAGGGUCGAUUCGGACUUUGUGCCCAUGUAUCAUAGGGUUGAUUUCCUAUUAUUUAAUCGUAAGCACUAUUUUACAUACAGAAAUAUUUCCUCCUGGCUUUGGAUUUCAGUUUUAUUUCCUUAAAGCGUCUUUCGAAAAGCACAAGUUUUUAUUCUGAUGCAGUGUAAUCUAUGUUUUUCCCAUCACAGAUCAUGCUGUUUGUGUCCUAAGAAACCGUUA
rnacentral:lncRNA from 1 species